AUAUGGUUGCAAAGGGGCUAGGAACAAAGUUUUCAUGUCCUUGUGACAGAUAUUCCAGAAGGAUUGAGAGCUUCCAGAGAGGAUAUCUGCCUGACUCUUUCCAGUGAGUUAUUUCUUGGCCACUGCAAUAUCCUGGUGGAUGCCAGGAUUCUUGGGGGACUUACAUCUGGUGUCUGGAAUGGAUUGGAGCCCCUAAUCUGCUGCUGGCCUCCUUUCUGACAACUGAGUUAGACAAUGGGAGCGCCGGGAAGCGCAGUAGGCAAAGGAAGUGAUUAUUUGACAGUUCACCAUUCUAAUCUUCAUCCUGCUUGUCAGCUGACACCUUCGCAGUCCUAUUUGUAAAGAUGAAAAGUUCAGUACUAUCGCUGGGUUCACUGGAAUGUUGCAUUCUGAAGAUGAAGUGAUGCACCGUUCAUCGAGUCUCAGGAUUCACUUGAAAAGUCUCACCAGUACUCAAAUUCCUGCUUUGUCUUAUAAGGCUCAGGUUUGUCAUCCUUUGAGACCCCUGGAGGAUAUCUCCUUAAAAAGGAACUUCAGAAGUAAUCAGAUGGACAACGUAAACAUCACCUUCAACCAUGCCAAUCAUCUGUUCCCCCGGCCUUUCUUUGAAUAAACACACAGGUUUACUCAUGGCAGUGAGGCAGCCCUGGAAGAAGAGAUAAAUAGGACAGCCAGAAUAUGGUAACUUUGCUAAUGACCUAUUGCUUGUAUCUCUGUUGGGUCAUCUGUAGUAAAUGCAAGCCAAGGCUCAAAAAUGAAUGGAGGAUAGCAAAAGUGGUGAGAGGUCUGGCCCAGGCAAUGGCAGGAUCUUAUCUCCUUCUCCAUCUGAUACUCAGUGAUGAUAUCUGUAUAAAUAGUCCCAUAAUGCUUUUUACCAAGUAGGGUUCUCUCCCCAAUACUUUAGUUUACUGAAUCAUGUAGAAAAAGUGAUAAACUUUUUGCAUAAACAUAGAUAUUUUUUCUAGGUAUGAAGGAACUGUUUGAAGGAAAAUGAGACUUGAAGUAGUUGAAAAAAAAAAAGGUAGAUUUUAUCUGUAAUAUGAAAAUAUUUCCAAAAGUAUAUAAAUGGGUUAGAUAAACAAGUUUGCAAAAUAACAUAGUAUAGGUUGGAUAUCAUUUAUGUUUUUUAAAAAAACAGGGAAGGGGACAAUGAUAAUGGCUAAUAUUUUAUAGUGCUUGCUCUGUGCCAGACACUGUUCUCAGUGCUUUGCUUAUCCUCAAAAUGACCCCAGGAAUUAAGUAUUGUUACUAUUUCCAUCAUAGAGAUUUGAAAACGGGGGCAUGGAGAAGUUGAAUGUCUUGCCUAAUGUCACGCAGCUAGGAUUUAAACUGAGGCAGUUAGUCUGCAGAUUCUGGAACCAAAGCUUUGCAAUAUUUCUACGGGCACAGU